UCUUCCCCUGGGCCCCUCCCUCCGCCGAGACCCCGCCCCUUUUCCCUCCGCGCCGCCUCUGACGUCACCGCGCCGCCGUGUUCCGCGCUUCGUCAUGCCCCCGGAGGUAGCCCCGCCCCUUCACUUCCGGCGGCGCCGCCGCCAUUUUGAGGGGCGCUUUAUCCAAGAUGGCGCUGGCCAGCGUCCUCCGCGCGCCGGAGCUCUCUCCUUCUUCUUCUUUUUGCCCUUUUUCUCCUUUUUCUUCCUCUUUUUCCUCCUCUUUUUCCUCCUCGCUCCCCCCCGCUCCCCCUGAGGCUUUAACGGCGCCUCCGCUCCUGUGGGGGGGGGGGACGGGGCGGAGCUGCCCGGGCCCGGCAUCCAGUUCCUGCACGGGACCACCACCCUGGCCUUCAAGGUGAGACUCCUGCCCCAUAGCGGGGGGCCCGGACCCAUAGAGGGACCCCCCAGCCCCAUAGAGGGAGCCCGGGACCCAUAGAGGGGGCCCUGGACCCAUAGCAAGAUCGUCAGCCCCAUAGAGGGGACCUACAGCCCCAUAGAGAGACUCCCGGACCUAUAGAGAGACCUCUCCAGACCCAUAGAGAGACUCCGGGACCCAUAGAGGGACCGCCCAGCCCCAUAGGGGGGUCUUUAGACCCAUAGUGGGAGUCUAUAGAGGGAUCUCCAGCCCCAUAGAGAGAUCUCGGGACCCAUAGAGGGGCCCUCGGGACCCAUAGAGGGAGCCCGGGACCCAUAGAGGGGGCCCUGGACCCAUAGCAAGAUCGUCAGCCCCAUAGAGGGGACCUACAGCCCCAUAGAGAGACUCCCGGACCUAUAGAGAGACCUCUCCAGACCCAUAGAGAGACUCCGGGACCCAUAGAGGGACCGCCCAGCCCCAUAGGGGGGUCUUUAGACCCAUAGUGGGAGUCUAUAGAGGGAUCUCCAGCCCCAUAGAGAGAUCUCGGGACCCAUAGAGGGGCCCUCGGGACCCAUAGAGGGAGCCCGGGACCCAUAGAGGGACCACCAGACCUAUAGAGAGAUCUUCCAGCCCCAUAGAGAGACCCUGCAGCCCCAUAGAGGGAGCCCGGGACCCAUAGAGGGAUCACCGGGACCCAUAGAGGGAGCUACAGCCCCAUAGAGAGACCUUAGGACCUACAGAUGGAGGCUUCAGCCCCAUAGAGGGACUCCAGGACCCAUAGAGAGAGCUCGGGACCCCCAUAGAUGGAGGCCCCAGCCCCAUAGAGGGGACCCACGGCCCCAUAGAGGGAGCUCUGGACCCAUAGAGGGGUUGUCAGCCCCAUAGAGGGGACCUACAGCCCCAUAGAGAGACUCUGGGACCCAUAGAGAGACCCCCCAGACCAAUAGAGAGAUGCCGGGACCCAUAGAGGGGUUGUCAGCCCCAUAGAGGGACCCAUAGAGGGG
rnacentral:lncRNA from 1 species